UGCACAUCAUAUAAGCAGUUUCUCUUUUUUCUCUUUUUUUCACUUUGAACCAGUUGCAAAUGCUUUGGUACAUCCAUUCAAAUGAUUCUGCACAAUUCCCAGCUCUUUGCUACAUUAUCAAUUGUUUAUGUCAUGUUGAUCAAAAUGUAUUAUAUAGUUCACUGCGCAAUAGUCUUACUCCUCAAAACAUCUAGUCAUUAGUUCAUCGUAUAAAUCAUUAACUGCAAAAUGGUUGACCGAGUUGUCAUAAUGUGACAAAUAUAUUUCUAUACAUCUCCAUUAUAUGUUUCUUUCUAAAUCUGUCCUGAUUUGGUAAAUUGCUCUCAGGUGACUUGACUUUCUCUAACAAAGGUGCAUCUCCUUAACCAUCAACUGGCAAGUAUAUAUAUGGGUGAAGCACAACACAAUGUUCUAUGUCUGACAAUGGUGUGCUUACACAUCACAAACUCUCUACAGAGAUCUCAUCCCUGAAGAAGAGAGGGGUCGGAGUGGAGAUCACCUGCCAAAGUAUGUGAUAGUUUGGGACAAUGUGAGUUUUCGUCACUCCAACAUCAUUAGGCAUCAGGAUGGAAAGUUGUAACACAGAUGACUGGACAGAUCUGGAUUUUUGUUCAAAGACAUCAUAAUCAUACUAUCAUGCUUUUCAGGGCCUAAUUAUUGUAUAUUUCCAUCAUGUUUUGAUGUUGUUUAGAUUGUGCGCACGUCACCAGAAACUGUUGUCACGCCUACCUGGUUGGCUCCUCUUCUCUGUCAAUCACAUUAUAAGCGCUGCUGAUUGGUUCAGUUACCUGCUCAGGUUUAUAUGCACACUUGUACCGUUUGUCCAGUAUUGCGAUAAGGGCGAAAAUAAGGAAGUGUGUUCAGAACCGAAGCAAAUUACUGGAUGAAAAGAAUCUGGGGAGCUGUGGAGUGCAGACACAGAAACCUACAGCUACAUGUUUAUUAGUUUCCUGCAGGCCAAUAAAACGAGAAGAUAAAAGUCCAAGCUGGCUUCAGUAGUUUCGUACGGUCAGGGAGAGAGGCUGCAAUGAACAGCGUUACACUAACGGGUUCACUGAAGAAAUGGAACUGAUGGUCACACAGAUUUAUGGAGGCAGACAUCCAAACCUAGAUUGGACCUCCAGGAGAGACGAGUGUGGCCACUGGGACGUGCCCAUUUAUGGACUUAAAGGUGAAUAUUGUGCAGUGUUGCCAGAUGGGGAAAUAAGAAUAAGAAAACCUUUAAUAGUCCCGCAGUGGGGAAAUUACUUCUCACAACAGCAGUACAGAUGAGCGAGAAUACAGGUACAGAACAGUUUGUGUUGGCACAGUACAAAGCAGUACAGUACAGUUAGAGUGAGUAUGAGGUCAUUGCAGGGUUAUUGCACGGUAAUGGGUAUAAGAUUUGUACCGGUAACAUUAUACAUGAUUGUUCACAGAUUUACACAAAUAUUGUGCAGAGCAGGUUGCUAUAUAAACCACUGAUGCAGUGGGUGAGUGACUGUAGUGGGACGUGGUCAACAGUUCUGAUUAUACAGUCUGACAGCAG